GACGAACGCUGGCGGCGUGCUUAACACAUGCAAGUCGAACGAGAAUCUGUGGAAAGAGGAUUCGUCCAAUUGAAGCAGAGGACAGUGGCGGACGGGUGAGUAACGCGUGAGGAACCUGCCUUUCAGAGGGGGACAACAGUUGGAAACGACUGCUAAUACCGCAUGACACAUAGGUGUCGCAUGGCACUUAUGUCAAAGAUUUAUCGCUGAAAGAUGGCCUCGCGUCUGAUUAGCUAGUUGGUGAGGUAACGGCCCACCAAGGCGACGAUCAGUAGCCGGACUGAGAGGUUGAACGGCCACAUUGGGACUGAGAUACGGCCCAGACUCCUACGGGAGGCAGCAGUGGGGAAUAUUGGGCAAUGGGCGCAAGCCUGACCCAGCAACGCCGCGUGAAGGAAGAAGGCUUUCGGGUUGUAAACUUCUUUUGUCAGGGACGAGUAGAAGACGGUACCUGACGAAUAAGCCACGGCUAACUACGUGCCAGCAGCCGCGGUAAUACGUAGGUGGCAAGCGUUGUCCGGAUUUACUGGGUGUAAAGGGCGUGUAGCCGGGAGGGCAAGUCAGAUGUGAAAUCCACGGGCUCAACUCGUGAACUGCAUUUGAAACUACUCUUCUUGAGUAUCGGAGAGGCAAUCGGAAUUCCUAGUGUGGCGGUGAAAUGCGUAGAUAUUAGGAGGAACACCAGUGGCGAAGGCGGAUUGCUGGACGACAACUGACGGUGAGGCGCGAAAGCGUGGGGAGCAAACAAGAUUAGAUACCCUGGUAGUCCACGCUGUAAAC
rnacentral:rRNA from 1 species